UACGAAGGGGGGCUAGCGUUGCUCGGAAUUACUGGGCGUAAAGCGCACGUAGGCGGAUACUUAAGUUAGGGGGUGAAAUCCCCGGGGCUCAACCCCCGGAACUGCCUUUAAUACUGGGUAUCUCGAGUUCGAGAGAGGUGAGUGGAAUUCCGAGUGUAGAGGUGAAAAUUCGUAGAUAUUCGGAGGAACACCAGUGGCGAAGGCGGCUCACUGGCUCGAUACUGACGCUGAGGUGCGAAAGCGUGGGGGAGCAAACAGG
rnacentral:rRNA from 1 species